GACGAACGCUGGCGGCGUGCCCUAAACAUGCAAGUCGAACGAGGGAGCAAUCUCUAGUGGCGAACGGCGGAGUAAGACAUGAACAACGUGCCCUGAAGUCCGGGACAAACGCAGAAAUGCCAUAAAUACCGGAUGUGGCCUUAGCUCGGCAUCGAGUUAAGAUUAAACGGAUUUUCGCUUCAGGAGCGGUUCAUGGCCUAUCAGGUAGUUGGUGGGGUAAUGGCCUACCAAGCCGACGACAGGUAGCGGGUCUGAGGGGAUGAUCCGCCCGAGUGGGACUGAGACACGGCCCACACACCUACGGGUGGCAGCAGUUGGGAAUCUUGCACAAUGGGGGAAACCCUGAUGCAGCGACGCCGCGUGGAGGAUGAAGGGUCUAGGCCUGUAAACUCCUUUUACCAGGAAAGACUUAGGACGGUACCUGGGGAAUAAGGACCGGCUAACUACGUGCCAGCAGCCGCGGUAAGACGUAGGGUCCAAGCGUUGUCCGGAUUUACUGGGCGUAAAGAGCGCGUAGGCGGUCCGUUAAGUGUAGAGUGAAAGCUCCGGGCUCAACCCGGAAAUUGCUCUGCAUACUGGCGGACUUGAGGAUGGAAGAGGUUUGUGGAAUUCCUGGUGUAGCGGUGAAAUGCGUAGAUAUCAGGAGGAACACCCAUGGCGAAGGCAGCAAACUGGUCCAUAUCUGACGCUGAGGCGCGAAAGCGUGGGUAGCAAACAGGAUU
rnacentral:rRNA from 1 species